CCUACGGGAGGCAGCAGUGGGGAAUAUUGCACAAUGGGGGAAACCCUGAUGCAGCGACGCCGCGUGAGCGAUGAAGUAUUUCGGUAUGUAAAGCUCUAUCAGCAGGGAAGAAAAUGACGGUACCUGACUCAGAAGCCCCGGCUAACUACGUGCCAGCAGCGGCGGUAAUACGUAGGGGGCAAGCGUUAUCCGGAUUUACUGGGUGUAAAGGGAGCGUAGACGGUCCUGCAAGCCAGAUGUGAAAGCCCGGGGCUCAACCCCGGGACUGCAUUUGGAACUGUAAGGCUAGAGUGUGGGAGAGGCAGGCGGAAUUCCUAGUGUAGCGGUGAAAUGCGUAGAUAUUAGGAGGAACACCAGUGGCGAAGGCGGCCUGCUGGACGAUGACUGACGUUGAGGCUCGAAAGCGUGGGGAGCAAACAGGAUUAGAUACCCCUGUAGUC
rnacentral:rRNA from 1 species